UAUUUUAAGAAAUUAAAUGCCUAAAGCAUGUUCAUGCAUCAUGAUGAUAUGUAGUAGGUUGAUUGCACUAGUUUCACGAAUAUGACGCAUUGCAUAAUAUGUUGAUGAUGGGGAUGGACCAAGGCGACCCCAAUAGCCCUAGAGAUGUUGUAAGACCUGGCCGGGUCAGGCAUAUUGAAAGUCCUGUGUGAGCCCUUUGAGAGCCGGGCAACUGUAUGCGAAAGACCUGUGUGAGCUCCUUUGUGGGCCGGGCACCUGUAUGUGAAAGUCCUGUGUGAGCUCUCUGUGGGCCGGGCAUUAUGAGGGAGUUUUGGUGGUCAUGUCCGUCCGUGAUGUGAAAUGUUUGUGCUGUGACGCAUUUCAUGAGAGCAUGUAAUUAAUGAACUGUUUUCU
rnacentral:lncRNA from 1 species